UAGUCCUCGAUCCUGAGGGUCGUGGCCUC
rnacentral:sRNA from 1 species